rnacentral:rRNA from 1 species
GCCUACGGCCAUACUAUCCUAAACACAUUCAAUCUCGUCUGAUCUUGGAAGCUAAGCAGGGUUGGGCCUGGUUUGUACUUGGAUGAAAGACAGUCUGGGAAUACCGGGUGCUUUAUUAU